GGGGAUGUGGCUCAAGUGGUAGAGCGCUUGCCUCGCAUGCGUGAGGCACUGGGUUCGAUUCUCAGCACCA
rnacentral:tRNA from 1 species